GAUGAACGCUAGCGGCAGGCUUAAUACAUGCAAGUCGAGGGGCAGCAUGAAUGUAGCAAUACAUUUGAUGGCGACCGGCAAACGGGUGCGGAACACGUACACAACCUUCCUAUAAGUGGGGAAUAGCCCAGAGAAAUUUGGAUUAAUACCCCGUAACAUAAUGAUGUGGCAUCACAUUAUUAUUAUAGCUACGGCGCUUAUUGAUGGGUGUGCGGCUGAUUAGAUAGUUGGCGGGGUAACGGCCCACCAAGUCUACGAUCAGUAGCUGAUGUGAGCGCAUGAUCAGCCACACGGGCACUGAGACACGGGCCCGACUCCUACGGGAGGCAGCAGUAAGGAAUAUUGGUCAAUGGACGCAAGUCUGAACCAGCCAUGCCGCGUGAAGGAUUAAGGUCCUCUGGAUUGUAAACUUCUUUUAUCUGGGACGAAAAAAGGCUAUUCUUAAUCACUUGACGGUACCAGAUGAAUAAGCACCGGCUAACUCCGUGCCAGCCGCCGCGGUAACAC
rnacentral:rRNA from 1 species